rnacentral:sRNA from 1 species
ACUACACAAUAAUCGUGUGGGUGAGACCUGCGUUCAGGUUCGAGCCGAGCGAAGCGAGACAGCAACGCGCAGCGUUGACCCGAAGGGCGAGUCCG